CUAUUUAUAUAAUAUUAACAUAAUUCAUAUUACUAUUUAUAGUAUAUGAAACUUUACUUUGAGAAAAUUAGAGUGCUUAAAGCAGGCUUUUGCCUUGAAUACUAGAGCAUGGAAUAAUAUUAAAGAUUUUUAUCUUUCUUAUUGGUUCUAAGAUAGAAAUAAUGAUUAAUAGGGACAGUUGGGGGCAUUUGUAUUUAACAGUUAGAGGUGAAAUUCUUAGAUUUGUUAAAGACAAACUAAUGCGAAAGCAUUUGCCAAGGAUGUUUUCAUUAAUCAAGAACGAAAGUUAGGGGAUCGAAGACGAUCAGAUACCGUCGUAGUCUUAACCAUAAACUAUGCCAACUAGAGAUUGGAGGUUGUUCCUUACUCCU
rnacentral:rRNA from 1 species